ensembl:lncRNA
CUUCGAGUCAUUAAAACUUAAAGCUCCAGCUCUAAAAUUAUAGAAGUUUACGAUGUAUGUUUUGAUCACACCUUCUGUUUCCCAUUUCUAUAAGUAUUAAUCUUUGAGGUUUAAGUUGCAAUGUGUUUUUUUUUUUUUUUUUAGAUGAUGGAGAGGAAGGCCAUGCAUCUCACAAUAAACUUGUGUAUACAAGUGUGAAUUUUGUGGUUGAGACAAUGUAUAAUUAUAACUAUGCUUUAGAGGUGUUAUGGAUAUUUUUAUCAGCAGGUGCAUGCUUUACUAAUAGAUCCUAAGAAUUCUUCUAUUUGUACUUUUGACACUCUGUAUUAAGUGUGAUAAACGUCAUGCACUCUGUCUGUAUAUGAAUAUAGGAGACUACCAAAUAAGGAGAGAUGCAAACUUUAUGCAAGGCUAUAAAAAGCCAAGGAGCGCUUUGUGCGGGGCCGCACUCCGAUGGUGAAGACUUACUCGCUGUUAUUUUCAUUUUUUAUUACUUAUGAGUUAUUGUCUACUAAUAAAGCGAAGCCAUUACAAAUGGUGAUGCGUUAAAUGUUUAUUAAAAUAAAAGACUCUAAGUAAUUUAUUUACGAGCAACAUAUUAUUCUGGAACUGAAUAUUCCUUUCGAGCCUCAAGAAGUCUGAACUCAGCUGAGCAGAUUUGGGUGCGAUCUCAGAGAUUCCUGCAUCUAUACAUCACCAUCAGAAGACAAAAUUCAUACAAGCACAAGACUCACUGCAGAGGAACCAGUGUCCAACGAGGAGCAUCUCAGCUGAGCACAAAACGAAAAAGAAAAACCAUCAAGAUCAUUUAAAGCACUUACAGUAGAACAAGAAGAAAUGAACAUACAAAUACCAACACCAGCAGUAGCAGUGACUGGGGUCUCCGUUCAGCCUGCUGUAUCGGUGGUUCAGCCCGCUGUAACGUAUGUUCAGCCCGCUGUACCAUUGAUUCAGCCCACUGUAACAGUUGUUCAGCCCGCUGCACCAUUGGUUCAGCCUGUUGUGGUCAUGAGUCAAAGGCCAGUUGCUGCGGUGCCAGAUUACUUGGGCUACUCCAUCUUUACCAUGCUGUGCUGCUGUUUACCUCUGGGCAUCGUUGCUAUCAUCUACUCAUGCAACACUCGAGAUGCUAACUUGACUGGACAGCGAGAGUUAGCGAUGGGCCACUCCAGAGUGGCAUUUAUCCUGAACAAUGUGGCUCUCGGUAUCGGCCUCGCAAUCAUAACAGUGGUCAUUAUCCUUUCCAUUAAAUUAGGUCAUUGAACAACAUCGUUGAACAGAUGUUUUAUUCUGCUUCAAAUGCAUCUACUCAUACUGUCAAUGAUACUGUCAACUCAAAUCAAUGAUUUUUGGAAGAAAUAACAUGUAUUUUCCAGACCCUCUGAAGGGAAUGAUCUAAUGUAUGCUUAUGUUUUAUUUCUUUUUUUUUUAAUGCUGGCAGACUGAUCUGUUUGAUUAGCAGAAAUUAAAUGCUUUACUGCUUUUAACUUAAAGCUGAUUUAAAAUGUUAAUUAAUAAAUAUAUAUAUAUAUAUAUAUAUAUAUAAAUU